UACGUAGGCAGCAAGCGUUGUUCGGAGUUACUGGGCGUAAAGGGUGUGUAGGCGGUUGUUUAAGUUUGGUGUGAAAUCUCCCGGCUCAACUGGGAGGGUGCGCCGAAUACUGAAUGACUUGGAGUGCGGGAGAGGAAAGUGGAAUUCCUGGUGUAGCGGUGAAAUGCGUAGAUAUCAGGAAGAACACCCGUGGCGAAGGCGGCUCUCUGGGACGGUACUGACGCUGAGACGCGAAAGCGUGGGGAGCAAACAGG
rnacentral:rRNA from 1 species